UCCGGUUUGGCACCGGCAGUCUCCCAUGAGUCCCCGGCAUUACCCGCUGGCAACAUGGAACAGGGGUUGCGCUCGUUGCGCCACUUAAGGCAACACCUCACGGCACGAGCUGACGACGGCCAUGCAGCACCUGUGCGGGCUCCCGAAGGAGGACCGUAUUUCUACGGCUUUUCCGUACAUGUCAAGCCUUGGUAAGGUUCUUCGCGUUGCAUCGAAUUAAGCAACAUGCUCCGCCGCUUGUGCGGGCCCCCGUCAAUUCCUUUGAGUUUUAGCCUUGCGGCCGUACUCCCCAGGCGGGGUGCUUAAUGCGUUAGCUGCGGCACGGAAGGAGUCGACACCUCCCACACCUAGCACCCAUCGUUUACGGCGUGGACUAC
rnacentral:misc_RNA from 1 species